rnacentral:snRNA from 1 species
AUUUACUCUCAGCCUUUUGGCUAAGAUCAAGUGUAAUAUCUAUUCUUAAUAGAUCUGAUACACCCUCUAAAAGAGGACAAUAUACUGAAUGGAUUUUUGGAAGUAGGAGAUGGAACAGGAGCUUGCUCCAUCCACUCCAUACAUCGACCUUGUAUAGCAGUACCUCCAGGAAUGGUGCACCCCCA